AACUGUUAUGGCGGAUGGGAGUUUCAAGAAGUAAACUUAAAAUUUUGAGGAACAUGGCGUGGAGAUCACACGGGGAAAGUAACAGUGACCUGCUCGAUCAGCUCAAAAGUACGGAGAUAUAUGAUUUAUUUUGCUUGGUGUUGAAUUUAACUUUUUUUCUUCCCUUGAUUUUAGUCCAUGAAGUGUUGAAAAGCAAAAGGGUCGAAGAGGCUCUGAGACGAGUUGACAGGAAACAUUAUUGUCGAAAUCGAGCAUUUGAAGAUUCUCCACAACCAAUAGGUUAUCAAGCAACAAUUAGUGCACCACACAUGCAUGUGUAUGCACUACAACAACUUGAGGGUCAUCUCAAAGAGGGUGCUUGUGCUUUAGAUGUUGGUUCAGGGAGUGGCUAUCUCACAGCUGCUAUGGCUUAUAUGGUUGGAGAAAGUGGAAAGGUUUAUGGAAUUGAUCAUAUUGAUCAGCUUGUCAAAGAUUCUAUGGCUAAUAUUAAAAGAGGGAAUCCUGAACUUCUUGAAAAGGGCAGAGUCAAAAUUGUCUCUGGUGAUGGGCGCAAAGGUUAUGAACCUGGGCAACCCUACGAUGCAAUACAUGUGGGAGCAGCUGCAGCAGAAUUACCAUCUGCUCUUCUAGAGCAGCUUAAACCAGGAGGUCGUCUUAUUUGUCCUGUGGGAGCAGAAGGGCGGAAUCAGGUUCUUGAACAGCAUGAUAAACUUGAGGAUGGCCAAAUUAUGAAGAAGAAUCUGAUGGGUGUCAUCUAUGUCCCACUCUGUGAUAAAAAACACCAGUGGCCAGAAUUCUAAAUAAAAGAAAUAGGCUACAAGUGGAUUUUGAAGAAAGCCAAUAGCAUAUUUCAGGCUUUAAUGCUAGUUUUGUCUGUAACUUGUUACUAUUCAAGCAUUGUUAUCAGCGACAUGAAAUCUUAAACAGAAGCUCUCUUCAGUGAAAAGUUCCGCAUACUUUAGUAUGAAAGGUGAAAAGGAAGAAUGAACAAUUUCUUUUGGUGGUUUAAGCGGAGGAUCUUUUAAAUAGAACCAUACUAAAAAAUGGAUUUUUAUCACUAAGAUAUUUGUUAUUUGUCUAGUUGUCAAGAAGUAGGUAGACAUUAUCAUUAAAAGUUCAACAACAGCUUA
rnacentral:misc_RNA from 1 species